UUGUGGGAGAGACUUGCGGCACUGCAUUUAAGUGCAAUGCGCAGCAAGCGCCGAAGGAGCAACCGCCCCGGAAACUCUCAGGCAAAUGGGCCGCAG
rnacentral:ncRNA from 1 species